rnacentral:lncRNA from 1 species
AGGGAAGGAGAAGUUUGUGAAAGCUAAUUAAAUACUUUAAUAAAAGCCAAUGUAUUCAUCCAACAUUUGGAAAGAGAGGCACAUUAGGGGCAACUUGUUUUUACCCAAAUGUUUUCUUUCUGUGGAGGUAGCACUCCUUUGUGAUGCCGGAGAGAGAGAUGGCUUAUGCAGCUACAAAAAGCGCUAGGGAUGGCAAGGCAGGUUCACGGGAAGCCUUUGGAAGCCUUUCAGCCUGAUGGAGCUUUCAAACCAGCAGAUCUUUCGAGCUGCUGCCGAGAUCAACAAUUACCCAAUUUGGAAAGGGGGUUGGGGUGCAGUGCUGAUGGCUGAAUGGGAUCCACAGGAAAGUCGGGAUAGAAAUUCGGGGUUUGAGACCCUGCGGGUGUACUGAUACUGUUUCAAUGUCAGGAAAAACACAAAACCCGGUUCCACGCGGUGCUUUAGUGGCUAAAAGUGAAAGAGCUGCCUUGGCAGAAUUCAGCUCUAUGAAUCACUUCGGAAAAUUGGUUCGACUGAAUGGCCUUAGGAGGAAAAACGUUUUAAUAGGAUCCAGGGGAGGUUCUGCUGUUUCAAUCUGCGCCUUAAACAGGUGGAGAUUGGACCUUCUCAAUUAUACAAACAGUAAGUACCCAUCAGCGGGGAGAGCUGCCCUCCGAAUUCUCCCCGCACACAGCCCUAAACCAGCAGCAGAGCCGGGCUGUGCCUCAGAAACCCGAUCACAAAUCAGCGAUUCUGAUCGAUUAGGGUCUCAAACAGCCCUCCAGCUCGCGGUGCAGUCUCCCGCAGCCGCAGGGGAGAGAGGGCGGGUAAGGAGGAGGCGCACCCGCCAGGCACGGAAGCCCUUGGGAUCUGGGCGCGCGGCCUUGCUCUUCCGGACGCUACCGGGUCGUGCUUAGGCGGUGGGAGCUCUCUCCCGACCUCCGACGCCAGCCAAGGCGGGCUCGUUGUUUUUGCAUAAAUUAAUAUUUCCCCAUUAACAAGUUCUCCCCUCCAAACGCGGCGCCCGCGUCCAUGCGCCACAUCCUAAUGAGGUAAUUAUCAUUUGCGCGUGUUCGGGGCUGGCGCCGGCUCCGUGGGUAAAUGGCAGUUUAUUAGCACGAUGCCCAGCUCGGCUGCAGAGGGCUAAGGGAUACUUCGGCAACUAGACGGACACCUUCGGAGCCCUUUAGGGCAGCGCAUCCAGAACACUCCUGCCCUCCCCGCAUCCCCCAAACCUGUAGGCCCCCAAAGUUGUGAAUCACGCACGGAACUCUGCCUGGGUUUGGGCUCCCCCCGCCUUUUUUUUUUUUCCACCGGCAAAACCAUCACGAUUCCUCCCCCUCCCCCUCCCGUCUCUUCCCUCCUUCCCGAUUCGCGAACCGAUCGCACUUUCCCGAGGGGAGCGCGGGCGCCAGUUGCCUCCUUUUAAAGUUUGAGGGGCGGUGGCGGCGGCGGCCGGCAGGCGCGGUGGAACACAGGGGCCGCUACAGGAGCCGCGCCGCCGCCCAUGUCAUUCCACUUCAAGUGACUUCAUGUGAUGUCAGCUGAAUGUAAAAGACAGUGAUCUCACGCGGAGGGGAAGAUGUUUGCCAUCAAAAUGUGACAGAGGAGACACGCUGCAUGGCUCGGAACGCAUCUCCUUGGCGGUGGGGGAAAGAGGUAAAUGCGAGGUGGCUCUCCUGGUCCUCUUUAACUUUGCCCCUUCACUGUCCAGCUCCCAGCACGAGUGGCGGAGGCCAGGGUCCAGGGAGCGGCUCAGGGGGGUUAAUUUGAGGCUCUUUCUUUCUUUUUUUUCUCUCUCUUUUUCCUCUGUAACCCCCCCCCCGCUUUUUCCCUUUCAAAGUCCCAGGGCAGGGGCUGGUGGGUUCCUUUGCGGGCCGGGUUAAUGGGCGGUAAUUUGGUACCCUUGGGUGCACU